UCCUCGCCAAAGCUGCGUUUCUUUGCUACACACGUCGGAUCUAUCUCUCCUCUCCCCUCUGCAAAGAGAAGGGGAGGGAUUAGCCAUCUGUCCUUGAUUGAUCCCCAAUCAUGAAAAUAUGCAAAUGAGAAAUUCGGAGCAAUCUUCAAACCCCACAACCCGCUCAGCGCUCAGAGAGAGAGAGAGAGAGAGCGAGCGUUGAGUCGGUGCUGCCCGUGAGGGCCCGGCGUGAAACCUAUUUACACGUCCGCAAUCAGGCAUCAGAAACUUCGGAGGCAGGGGACCCGGGGUCGUGCGGAGACUUUGUUUCCCACUUCCCUCCCCCCUCCCCUCCCUGGGAGAGCCGUUGCGAAGAUUGUGUGUACAUCCCUCCCUCCCUUUUUCCCCUUACUUCUCUAUCCCCUUGGAGGGUUGGGUGAGUUGAGGGAGGGGGCUGUAUGACACUUUAGUGCAAUACGCAGCGUACUGGGUUCCUAUUUCUUCUUUCUAGAAUGAGAUGCGGUCUGGUAUGAAUUCGAUUCCGAUUACUCUGGCGGGGA
rfam:Ajellomyces capsulatus H88 supercont1.4 genomic scaffold, whole genome shotgun sequence.